CGUGUAGCGUCUCUGUUCAGUGCCUGGUCGUCUAGCUUCGUGACAAUGAGCGACCGGCUCCGCUCGCGGUUUUACUCUCCUGGUGCACCCAUCACCUUGCUUCCAGCGAUGACAGGGUCUAGCGCUCUCGCCGUUGCACAAGCAGCAGCAUCAUCGUCACCACCAACUCCGUCUCCAUUCGUGGCCUCACUUGUGGAAGUUCUCCUACGUUCGCGGCAGCGAAGUCGCAGUGCGGCAUCGCGAUCAGCGGUGCAGCAGCAUAGAAACACACACUACGACGCCGCGCGCAGACUUCGCAGUAGCCAUGUAGCGCUAACAGAUUUGCUAGGCGGCCUUGAUCUUGGCCCUGGGUUGCUGCGUGCCACGCGUGUCUGCUACGAGCGCAACAUCGUACGCAACACCCUCGCCGAUACGCCGUCGGGCUACAUACAAGACCCUCGUGCGCACCCCGUGACGAUGCCGCGGUACGACAGCGUUAGCCGCGUCGGAGUCGCUACAUUGGAGGCGCUGGAGCGCGAGCGUGAGCUGCUGGAGCGGGAGGAGCUGGCCUACCCCGGCUACACAACUCUGCGCAUUCAAGAGUUGAAGCACACGGUAGUUAGCAAGGCAAGCACACAGGCAGACUUGCAGCACGCGGCAGACGCGCUGCUCGAGGAGCUAAGUGCCCUUCUCAAGGUGGUCGGCCAGGAGGUGGAGAAGCCGAUGAGCACGCAGCGGGUACUCCUCUUGAAGUGGCAGCAGCGCCAGCAGCGCCUGCAGAACCGUGAGAACGCUUUCCAGGUCAACGUGCCCAGCACACCCGCUUACCGCGUGGUUCCACAGGUGGACGGCACGGAGGUCAUCGAGCGACCGGGCCGCGACACGCCACAAGCACCUGUGCACGAGACGGAUGACGCAUACUUGUCACAAGCCGUGGAGGCGGAGGAGCUGCCGCCUGAGGCGCUGAUCCCCGAAAAGACGAUCAUCACGACUGCUGAUGUGAACCACGUGCGCUACCUUUUGGGCCUCACGUACCGCCGGCUGGAGCGGUGUGAUGAGGCGGAGAUGAUGCUCUACGACAUCUUGGCCGACGAUGUCACGAAUGUGGACGCCGUGGAGUCACUACUGGAGCUGUACACGGGCAUCGAGGGAUGGGUACCGCGGAUACGCGUGCUGCUAGACUACCUGGCCAAGGAGUACACCAAGGCGGCGGAGGAGGGGCGGCUGCAUCCUGCCUCUGCAUCCGAUAAGGUGCCGGCUGUCGACGCCCAUUGCGCCGAGGAGCCUUGCGCGACAGUGAGCCCGGACGCUGCUGCGGCGUCAAAGUCUACACCGCAACAACCAUCUUCGUCACCAUCCUCGUCAGUGUCUCCCGCGGACGCCGUGGCGACGACGGCUGGCACGGGUGCUGCCCGCAGGCCAACGCCAGCCUACACGACGCUACCUCAGGUCGCCCCAGUGGAGGUGGCGCUGUCCCUCUUGUCCGAUCUCAUCGUCGAGGCGGCCGCGCAGAAGUGCUCGUCCGACGGCGAGGGCGCCGCGUCGCGGUUUUUCAUCGAAGCGAUGGGGCCCAUUGUGCGGGUCCUCGACCGCGACUACGCAUGUCGACUGCUCGAAGCGCUUUUCCGCGCUGUCGAUGAGCAGCACUUCGCCGUGCGCUUCGACUCGGCCGACAUCUCCCCGAAGGCUCGCACGUUCGCGCUCUCCCUUGUGAUCGCGUUUCUGAAGGCGCUGAUGGCGCGCCGCAUUCAUGAAAUGCUGCCUGAGUCGACCCGAUUCCACUUCUUCACGCUCGUUAAGCUGCACUCUGCACUUCGCAGCGCUGGCCGCGUGCAUGAAAGCUACAAAAUUUGCGAGCAGCUGAUGCAGCUCUAUCGGGCAAACUCGUCUGUGCACCGCGCUCGUGUGUGUGCGUCGUCGAGCGUGACUCUGAGAUCGUCUGCGCCGUCGUCGUUGCAUGCCGAGUGCAACAGCAUGCUCAGUGCCUCUGCAACGAGGCCCACGGCGGCUGCGACAGCCGAGUUGGAGGCGCAGGGACGUGCUACGGAGGCAGGCGCACUGCUACCUCAGGCAGCCAACGCGCGUCGCGGUGCUGCUGCGGCCCCUAAAGACAUUGCUGAGGGGGUGCCGCCGACAGAGAGCAGCCGGCUCAGCGAGCCGCCAGACGUCCUCGACGAUCAGGACGCCAACUACCGCGAGGCCUUUUUCCAGUACGUGAGCGACCGCGCGCACGACUCGCCAGCACUCGGGCGGCGGCUGUGCAUGGAGGCCAUGGCUGAAUUCCCGACGUGCGCCGCGCCGUGGGAGACGCUAGCGCUGCUGAUGCACAAGGAAGACCCAAAGCGAAACCUUAGCGACGCCAUUAUCGCUGCCCGCCGCGCGAUGGAGCUGGAGCCGUUCAACGUGCGGGUCAUCGUUACGCUGGCGAACUUCUACAAGGCCGCGCACCGCUACGAGCUGUGCGACCGCAUGAUGGAUCGCUACCGGCUCAUGUCUUACAUGGUGGAGGAAGGGGCAAGCGAGGCCGACAUGAUCGCAACGGCUGCCGAGAUUGCGGCACUGGAUGAGCAGACACCGGAGGCACAGGACCUGGUUGAGGAGACGGGGCGCGCCAUGAAAGAGUUCCUCGAGCGCAUGGAGCAGGCGACGACGUAUUCAAUGCCCAUCGACAAGGAGCCGCGUCCGCUUCGGGACGGGCCGAUUCGCUUUAUCGCACAGCAGCCGGAUAUGCGACCGGCUGAAGUGGAACCGCGCGACAGGGAGCUCCUGCGGCAGCUGCAGAUGAUGGAGCCGCGACAGCAACGGUGAGCGACGGGCAUCGCCGAGAAGAAAGAGCUCUUCCGCCCUUCUCCAAGGCUGCGGUGCACGAGGGAGAGAGACAGACAGAGAGAGAGUCGUUCGGUUCGCGAGUGAGCGCGCGGAGUAGAACGCGAAAGUUGGAGGAGAUGUGAUGCGCUAAGGUCCGUUGCCUGCACGCGUUUUCAAUAUCGUCACAGAGCUGCAAGCUGCACACCGAGUUUCCACCGACGAAAUGAAAUCUUCUGAGGUGGAGGGACGAUCGGGGAGGGGCGGUGGCGGACGGGAGGAGCGGGGUGGCAACAGCGGCCGCACCCCUGUCCCAUUCUUCUACCCCUCCCGAGAGCAAGGCAGGAAACAUCAGAUGCUUCUGGUGUUGCGUGUUGUUGUUGAACAACGCCCACCCCUCCCCUCUCACCUCCCUCUCCUUGGCUAUGCGGUUGUGUUUUCGUGCGUGUGCACUUUUGGAUAGUAAAGAUAUGCCGAGGGAGACUCGAUUCAGCACACGCGCGAGCGCGUGUGUCUUCUUCCUGCUAUGCUUACACUCCCGUGAUCUCGCAUUCAUCCCCUUCUGCUGCGCCUCCGUGCAUCCCUGACACACACACACAUGUACAUGAAUGCCGCUUAUUUUUUUCUUCGAUUUUGCCUCCUCGAUGCCGUCGCCGGCUGCGUGUGCGUUCCCCCGCCACUGGAAAACGACACACCCAACCACACCGUGCACAUAUCAUCACAG
rnacentral:misc_RNA from 1 species